CCCUUAUCGUCAAAAACGUCGGCCCGCGGCGAUGUGUGCCACAAACGUCUCCGCGCUCCGCUACCUAGUUUUCUGUUUUUUUUCCGUUCCUUUCUUUCUUCGUGUCUCGAACUCUUGUCGAGACUUUGUCACCGGACGGUCUUUCGAUACAGUUCUCUUAAUAAAACACUCCCGUGUAUUGCACGGAUUCACAUAAUUUGCCAUCAAGAAAAGGUCGUGUACCUUGGCACGUUUCACGGUGUGCCUCAAACGAACCAAUGAAGUGAGUACUGAUCUGGUCCGCCGGGCGGCCAUCUUCGGGCGUCGACGAAUGGUAAUAUAUAUGUGAUUUAAUAAUUGGCCGAUACCCCUUAGUCGGUUAUUUAGUUUUUAAGGUAGCUCAGUUAAGGUCACCCGUAUAAAUAUUUUUAUCUAAAAUGUUUCUUUUUUUCUCGUAUGUUAAAUUCUUCCGAUAUACUUAGGUUCACCCGUAGGGCCACCAAAACUAUGGACCAGUCAACAUGGAAUAAAAAGCGUUUCCGCUACCCUUCCCGGUGGUAAUUUAUGUUACCCGGUAACCGCACAUUCCUACCGGGGUCUCCUCAAUACCUAAGGUGCCCACGUAAGUUCCACGUGGGGUGGGGGUCCGUCUCGGUCUAUACCCAUAUCGGUCAGCACACACACGUGGAUGUGGAUUCAUCCUUAUCAAUAAAUAUUAAUGAGUCCCGGCCUGCACGCUCCCCGUGAUACCUAUCGUGUUUACCGGAAAACACUUACGACUGGUUGACGCCCCAAUCAAUGUACAUGUAUUUAAAAUAUAAAUUGUCUGUAAGUAUUAGUUUAUAAGCCUAUAUAUAUACAUCAAUAUGUCAAUGUCAGAAUCGUACCUAUUAUCCAUUUUAUCUCAGGUGACAGUUUUUAUGCUCCUGUGCUUUUCUGUUGCAUUAACUUAAUUUUACUUUUUGAUUGAUAAAUUAAUAAAAUAAUUAUGUAUUUUCCCC